rnacentral:lncRNA from 1 species
UCGUUUUGGUUCUGUUUUCUUCCUCUGGUUGAUUUUGAAGCUCUUUCUGUUGAAAUUUUACAUAUCGCACUUUUCUUUAUGCAGGUUCCAUUUGUUUAGGGACGAGGACAUAUUGGGCAUUCUGCAUGAAUGAGGUUUCUUUGUAUUCUUAAAAUAAUUUCUUUCCCUCUUGUCUAAGUUUGCAACUGUUGCAAACUAUAGAAGAUUUAUCUGAGAAUAUUAUCGAAUCGAAUGGUAUUAUGAAAAUUUCAAUGGUAGUAUGGAAAUAGUCUUCGAAUUCUGAUUUAUUUAUUUGUUUUUUACAAUUUAACACAGAUUUUACAUAUGAGUUAAAGGGAACUAGGGAAGUUAAUGUUAUGAGAAAUGCAGAUAACGUCUUAUGUCAUAGACAUGGCCAAAUCACUUCUUAAACCAAAAUCAUGAGGGAGCUGCUGAAUAGCUGAGCUACACAAUCCGAAAUCUAUUAUUAAAUUCCGAGCACAUAUCCCACACAAAUUAUGUAUCUCCAAGAAUUGGCAUACAAGCUAUCUAAAUUCUUAAAGAAAGAUUUUGUCUGAAAAUUAUCUUCGUCUUUUGUUUCUUCAGCGUUAAACUCAUCCAAUUCAAGCGUUACCAAUUUGUACAAGGACAUUCUUUUUGUAGAAAAGUUUACUAUUUUACUCCUCAAAUAAAAUCAUACAACUUUUUCCCUUUGCAAAAUGAUGUUCUUCGUAAUGGUAACUCGAGUUCUAACUCCUCAUCAUUUAGAUUUUGAAAGAUCAUAAAGAAUUUGGAAUCAAAAGCAUUUAACACCAUCUGUAAUUUAUUUUCAAAUAUGAUAUUCCAUAAUAGGAAAGUCAGGGAAACUAUACAUGAUUGUUUAUAGAAGAGACAAGAAAGAUUAAAAUCUGUAACCGUAAAAGAAAAAUAAAACAAUGAUUGUAAUUCUUAACCCUUACAAACCAAAACCAAUUUUAUCACUUGUAUUCGAAAUUGGGGACAGCAGGCGCAUCGAAGCUCUCCGAAACCUUGGUCUCGCUUCCCUCGCUGGACGCAGGAGAAGCGGUCAGCCCCUGUAGCUCGUUGGUAGGGAAACAUGUCGUCUAGGAUCCGAUCAGGACAAGGUUCCCGAGAUGUCUCUGGCGUUCCCAUCUCCUCCCUAGCCUUUCUAACUGAUUUCACCAACUAUUCUAUAAUUCCUAUGCAAUCCAAACGUCUUUGAAGUGAAGCUCCUUAUCCCAUAUGGACCCAUUUCCACCGCCACACUAUUUAUGUUGCCAUCCUGAAAUUUCAAAUGUUUUUUUUUUUUUGUUGUUACGAGACAUAUUUUUUCUGUUAAUACUACUUUCUGAUCCAAUUUUGUUGACAAUAUUUCCCAUGGUCCAAUAAUAUCUUAUUCAAAAGUGAGAAAAAAAAAUUGUUGAUGUUUAAGAAGGGAAGAUGACCAAGAAAUGACUUCCAUUAAAAGUCGUAGUCUGUAAUGAGAAAAAAACAUUUGAUAGAGGAAUAAUAAGAUUAUUGUGGUGUAAUUUAAGUGAACGAGUAACACUAUUUUCAGACUGAGAAAUUAAGAAAAAGUGGAGGAAGUGAGGUGUAUGCAACUAAUUGGAAACAAACAGUUUUGGUGGUAUAUAAGCAAAAAGUUUAAAAAUUUCGUUCAUUCUCUA